GCCUGGCUGGCUCAGUCAGUAGGGCAUGUGACUUUUAAUCUCAGGGUUGUGAGUUCAAGCCCCACAUUAGGUG
rnacentral:tRNA from 1 species